rnacentral:lncRNA from 1 species
ACUCACUCCAGGCUGGGGCAACAAGAGCGAAACUCCAUCUUAAAAAAAAAAAAAAAAAAAACCCAGGAUUUUUUUUUUUUUUUAAUUUACAGAUGAACGAUGAGUUGAUGUCAGAUUAAGGUCAGAGUUUUAUUCUAUAUAAAUUAACUGUCUAAUGAAUAGGUUGAACAGGGAGGGUAUAGAUUCCCAUUCUCUAGGGAUAUUCAAGUAGAUGCUGUAGAAGGAUUCUGUAGGGCUGAGUUAGAUGACCUCAGAGAGAUACUCUGAUGUGCUGUGGUUUGUAAACAUGUGUGGCAUAUUUUAAAAGCAUAUUGUAAUUAUAUUUUAAGCCAUACGUAUGUAAUCUUGGCAAGAACAUUGUUUCUUCUCGAGUCAUUCACAUGCUAAUAGGCACUCUCUGAAACACAGUCCUAUGCCAGUUGGAGCCUGUGGGAUGUGGCAUAUACUGGGACAAGAGAAGGUUCCAAAGCUCUUAUAUUAGGUGAAUACCAACUCUAUCUGGAUUUGUCAUUCUAAAAGCCAUCAGGAAACCAUGUUGCUGACUCCUAAGGAUUAUACGUCUUUUCUUUUCUUUUCUUUUUUUGAGACGGAGUCUUGCUCUUUCGCCCAGGCUGGAGUGCAGUGGCGCGAUCUCGGCUCACUGCAAGCUCCGCCUCCCGGGUUCACGCCAUUCUCCUGCCUCAGCCUCCCGAGUAGCUGGGACUACAGGCGCCUGCCACCAUGCCCGGCUAAUUUUUUUGUAUUUUUAGUAGAGACGGGGUUUCACCAUGUUAGCCAGGAUGGUCUCGAUUUCCUGACCUCGUGAUUCGCCCGCCUCGGCCUCCCAAAGUGCUGGGAUUACAGGUGUGAGCCACUGCGCUCGGCCCUUUUUUGGGUUUUUUUUAAAGGUAUGAAGUCAAUGUACUUCAUUUAGUUUGUAGGAAAUUACUUGGCUUCCCAAAAUCCUAGAUGAAAACUAUAUUCAGAAGUAGAAAUAAAUACACUCAAAUAUAUUUAUAUAAAAUAUAUUCGAAAGCCAACUAUUUAAGCUUAUAUGUUUUUCUUUAUUUCUUUACAGUGAAUAACUACAAGCUGACUCUAAUUUUAAAAAAUAAAAAUUUUAUCUCUCACCAAUUUUAAAAUGGCUCAAACAUCUCUCAUUAAUAGUUUGUGAUAGCUUCCUUUCAUGCAGGACCAGCACUCUGAUUAUCCUUCUACAUGCCAGGCAGGGGGAGCUGCAGUGUGGAAGAAUAAAAAGUAAAGACACAACUUGGUUAUAAGACUUUUGUUAUAAAAGUAAUAUACUUGUGACAUGUAACAAUGAUGAUGAACAUGUGCAAAAUGCUUGCAUACAAUCUGGUUUUGUGAUUCUACAGAUUCAGUAUUAGAACAUAAACCAUUUCCAGGGAACAUGAGUCACCCUGCAGUCCUAUAUUCCUUUGAAGGCAACUUCCCCUAGAGACAUUAGUAUUUUAGCUCCCUCCCACCCCCAC